rnacentral:rRNA from 1 species
UACGGAGGAUCCCAGCGUUAUCCGGAUUUAUUGGGUUUAAAGGGUGCGUAGGCGGGUUAUUAAGUCAGUGGUGAAAGCUCCAUGCCUAACAUGGAAAUUGCCAUUGAUACUGAUGAUCUUGAGUACAUUUGAAGUGGGCGGAAUGUGUCAUGUAGCGGUGAAAUGCUUAGAUAUGACACAGAACACCGAUUGCGUAGGCAGCUCGCUAAACUGUAACUGACGCUGAGGCACGAAAGCGUGGGGAGCAAACAGG